rnacentral:rRNA from 1 species
UACAGAGGGGGCAAGCGUUGUCCGGAUUUACUGGGCGUACAGCGCGCGCAGGCGGCUGGGUACGUGCCGUGUGACAUACGGAAGCUUAACUUCCGGGGGCCAUGGUAGACGACCCGGCUGGAGGCAGGGAGAGGGAUGUGGAAUACCCGGUGGAGCGGUGAAAUGCGUAGAGAUCGGGUGGAACACCAGCGGCGAAGGCGGCAUCCUGGCCCUGACCUGACGCUGAGGCGCGAGAGCGUGGGGAGCGAACCGG